CUGUGCUGGCAACUUUAAAUGAUUUCCAGGGAAAUGUGGGAGCGGCCUGGGCUCUUUGGCUACUGGGCUCCCGGUGACCGAUCCCUUGGUGAGCCUGGGCUUGGGUGGGGAGAAGUCACAAUUAUCCACGGACUACUCCCGGCCUCUACUUUACCGGGGAGGAAGGGGUAGAAUGUGGUGUAGCAUCAAAGAUGGAAGACUUCAGGGGCUGGACGGUGGCUCAGAGCUUUCCUGGUUUUUCACCUUUGGGUCUACAGAUGGUGAUUCCAGGCCCAGAGGGAAGGCCUGCCAGGUGAGUUGUCUACGGAACAGGAUCCGGUUCAGACCCAGGUGCCUUCUCCCAACACUGUGGCACCUCUCUCCUUGGCUUAUACACCGGGGUUCAGCGUGAGAUUCCCUUGGAACCUGAGCCUUGCUGCUUGAAGAUAGUGAUUCUAAUGGAUGUCCUCACCUGCUGGGGAAGGAGACUAUUGCCCAGAGAGAGGAAGCGGCUUCCUACGGGUCACAUGGCCAGCAGAAUGGCAGGGCCUUCUGAGGCCCCAAGGCUCUGACCUUUCUUUCAGGUCAACAAGGAAAGGCGAGGGUCAGUCAGGCCCAAGAGAUGACUUGCUCCUGCUUCUGGCAAAGACAAAUAGGUCAGAGGAGGCCAAAUAAUCUCCUCUGUGAGGCAUGUCAGGCUACAGGGAAAGUUCGAGAUUGGUGCCGUUGGGAAAGGAGUUAGUGUAAGCUGAGGUAUACUAAGACAAUGUGGUUUGGUUUACAUUUGUUCAUUGUCUGACUCCUGGUAUGGAACCCAAGCUCUCCCAAAUGCUAGGUAAGUGCCCUACCACUGCCCACAGCCCUAGCCCAAGAAUGCUGUGCAAACAAGGCUUGGUAGACUUCAUACAAAACAUAUAUGUAAAGGAGCUCAUUAUUUUUUGUGUUGAUUGCCUGAGGAAACAAAAUUCUGUAUGUGUUAAGUAAAAUACAUCCCUAAAAUUAA